AUGGAAAAUGAGUAUAAACAGAUGAAUUCAACGGUAAGGAGGUGUGUGGGAGUUGAAUAUAUGUGUAGUCUCUAUAAUAUUCAGUUAUUAGAACAAAGAGAGCGAAUUGAAAACUUAAAAAAAAAAUUAGAUGCUUAUAAUAAAAACAUAGAACAACAUAAUAGUGUUUUUAAUAAUAUUGUGAAACGUACUGAUGGUUUCUUUAGUAACAUUAUAGCACUUAUAGAAAAUCUUAACUACUUGAAAAAUAUUAACAUUUUAACAAGAUGCGUAAAAUGUUGCUUUGUAGAUGAUAAGGAAGAGCUAAACUUAAUCAAUAAUUUCAACAAGAUACACAGUUGUAGGACGUGCAAGUGCAAAAAAAUACAAUCGAAAAAAUACGAUAGCAAUAGAUGUAACAAUACGAUAGUGUAUAAAAAAACAAAUUUUUAUGUAGAUGAAAACAAAAAUAAAAUGAAAAAAAAAAAAAAAAAAUUAAAAAAAAAAAAAAAAAGUUUACUACAGAAUGAAAACAUUUAUGGUCUUAUUAGUCCUUAUGAUACAAUCGAGGCUAAGGAGUUGUAUGACAUAUAUAAAAAAAAAAAAAAUAUAUGUUCGUAAAUAUGAUUACACACAAUAAGGCUUUUUUUUAUUUAUUUAAUUUUUUUUGUUAAUAGUUACCAAGUUGUUGAAUGUAUAUCAAAAAAAUGAGAACAUUUUUAUAAAGAUAAUACAAUAAAAUUGAAAUAGUUAUGUUUUAAAAUAAAAUA
ensembl:lncRNA